AGUGAACGCUGGCGGUAGGCCUAACACAUGCGAGUCGAACGGCAGCACAGUAAGAGCUUGCUCUUACGGGUGGCGAGUGGCGGACGGGUGAGGAAUACAUCGGAAUCUAUUUUUUCGUGGGGGAUAACGUAGGGAAACUUACGCUAAUACCGCAUACGACCUACGGGUGAAAGCAGGGGAUCUUCGGACCUUGCGCGAUUGAAUGAGCCGAUGUCGGAUUAGCUAGUUGGCGGGGUAAAGGCCCACCAAGGCGACGAUCCGUAGCUGGUCUGAGAGGAUGAUCAGCCACACUGGAACUGAGACACGGUCCAGACUCCUACGGGAGGCAGCAGUGGGGAAUAUUGGACAAUGGGCGCAAGCCUGAUCCAGCCAUACCGCGUGGGUGAAGAAGGCCUUCGGGUUGUAAAGCCCUUUUGUUGGGAAAGAAAAGCAGCAGGUUAAUACCCCGCUGUUCUGACGGUACCCAAAGAAUAAGCACCGGCUAACUUCGUG
rnacentral:rRNA from 1 species